ACCUUUUGGUCAAAUUCAUAGAAAGAAAGAUCGAUCAAAAGAAUUAUCCUUGUCAGUAAAUUACUGGAUGCUGAAGAAUAUCUACAUUGAGAGAAGUGCAGACGGAGUAACGACAUCGUUAUACACUGAUUAAUAUGGGCUGUUGUCUGUUUUAUCUUCUUUUAACUGUCUCACUGCAAUAUAACUUGCUAUCAAGUUUUGCAAAUACUGAGGUGUUAUCAUGGAGGGAAGACAGGAACAAAAUCCCAACAAACUGGGGCUCUCAGAUUUUUGUUCUUCCAGUGCAGCUUAUCCAGACGUAUUUGCCAAGCCACCACUCGAAGUCCAGACAAUGCUCACAAAAAAGCAAUUACUACUGCUUAUACGCAUACAAAACUGUGUUUGAUGAACGAGAAAACUCAGUUAACUCCAGAAUGAACAACAGGGAGAGAGAAAGGAAAACAGUAGAGUUCGGCAACAUCAUCCGACGAUUUUGGCGACAAAAUAAUAUGUUCAACCUGAGAGAAAAUGGGGUGGGCAUUGGUAGCGUGGAAGAAGAGUGCUGUACUGACCAGGCAAUGAAAUAUAAGUGGUACGGGUAUGAAAACAAGAAGAUGUCACCCGGGGAAUAUUUCCUCAAACUCACAGAUUACGCGAUUAACUUAAAAGAAAUCAAUUAUA